rnacentral:rRNA from 1 species
GAUGAACGCUGGCGGCGUGCCUAAUACAUGCAAGUCGAGCGAACGGACGAGAAGCUUGCUUCUCUGAUGUUAGCGGCGGACGGGUGAGUAACACGUGGAUAACCUACCUAUAAGACUGGGAUAACUUCGGGAAACCGGAGCUAAUACCGGAUAAUAUUUUGAACCGCAUGGUUCAAAAGUGAAAGACGGUCUUGCUGUCACUUAUAGAUGGAUCCGCGCUGCAUUAGCUAGUUGGUAAGGUAACGGCUUACCAAGGCAACGAUGCAUAGCCGACCUGAGAGAGUGAUCGGCCACACUGGAACUGAGACACGGUCCAGACUCCUACGGGAGGCAGCAGUAGGGAAUCUUCCGCAAUGGGCGAAAGCCUGACGGAGCAACGCCGCGUGAGUGAUGAAGGUCUUCGGAUCGUAAAACUCUGUUAUUAGGGAAGAACAUAUGUGUAAGGAACUGUGCACAUCUUGACGGUACCUAAUCAGAAAGCCACGGCUAACUACGUG